rnacentral:rRNA from 1 species
ACGUGCCGGCGACAAGUCGGAGGAAGGUGGGGAGUGACGUCAAAUCAUCAUGCCCUUAUGACCUGGGCUACACACGUGCUACAAUGGGCGGUACAAAGGGCUGCGAACCCGCGAGGGGGAGCGAAUCCCAAAAAGCCGCUCUCAGUUCGGAUUGCAGGCUGCAACUCGCCUGCAUGAAGUCGGAGUUGCUAGUAACCGCAGGUCAGCAAUACUGCGGUGAAUACGUUCCCGGGCUUU